rnacentral:lncRNA from 7 species
GCUGGGGAGCGAGCAACACGUGGCGACGGGAUACCCGGGCACAGCCUGGGCUGCUCUGGGAGGAAACACCCUUCCCAGGGCUGUGUUGGAGACAUGUGAGUCUGGGGAGAGCCCAGCGAGCAGCCUGCCCCUCACCCCUUCUGCCCGAGGAGCCCUCCCUGUGCCCAGCUGCUGUCAGAAGUCAGGUGGACAGCCAGAAAAGCACGCAAGUUAACAGUUGCUGCUGCUUACAGCAACAAGGAAGAAUUAGGAGUGCAGACAAGAAGCAGCUUUACCCUAAGAACUGCUUGAAGCUGAUGCCUGUAUCCUACAGCUGCUCAGCUGGAUGGGCUGUAGGACACCAAGUGACUCUUCAGAAGGCCUGCAUGCCUUGCUUUCCCUCUCAAGUAGAAACUGGUCAGCAUCAGACUCCACACAGACCAUGGCCACCAAGAUCAUCACUGCUGGAGUCCUUGCAGUGCUGGCAGCAGAAGACUUCUGGCCCAUCCUUUGGCAGUCAUGGUUGCUGAAAUCUAGCAGGACACUGCAGCAGAUUUCUGGAAGACCGAAAUAUCUCUUUUGUAAUACUGUAUGUUCCAAAUGGAUCUUUCUUCAGCUAAAAGCCCUUCCUAGCAUGGAAACAAAAAUGUGGUUAUUCCAGGACAUUUCUGAACAUUGCUGAGAAAUUUCCUUUAGGUGGCAGCAGGAGUACAAAAAUAUUCAGCCUCUUGGAUACUUUGGUCUGCUACGGUAGAGUGGCUGUGUGCUGAACAUAAAGGCAGUUUUACAACCCUUGCACAACCUAUUAAACUUUUCUCUCCC